UACGUAGGUCCCGAGCGUUGUCCAGAUUUAUUGGGUUUAAAGGGUGCGUAGGCGGGCUUUUAAGUCAGCGGUAAAAAUUCGGGGCUCAACCCCGUCCGGCCGUUGAAACUGGGGGUCUUGAGUGGGCGAGAAGAAGGCGGAAUGCGUGGUGUAGCGGUGAAAUGCAUAGAUAUCACGCAGAACCCCGAUUGCGAAGGCAGCCUUCCGGCGCCCUACUGACGCUGAGGCACGAAAGUGCGGGGAUCGAACAGG
rnacentral:rRNA from 1 species